rnacentral:tRNA from 1 species
AACCAUAUAGUCAACUAUGAUUUUAAAUUGCAAAUUUAAGGGUAAAUUCAUUUUUAUGGUUU